rnacentral:rRNA from 1 species
UACGGAGGGUGCAAGCGUUAUCCGGAUUCACUGGGUUUAAAGGGUGCGUAGGCGGAUAGGUAAGUCCGUGGUGAAAUCCCUCAGCUUAACUGGGGAACUGCGUCCGAUACUGGAUGGCUUGAGUUUGGGAGAGGGAUGCGGAAUUCCAGGUGUAGCGGUGAAAUGCGUAGAUAUCUGGAGGAACACCGGUGGCGAAGGCGGCAUCCUGGACCAAUACUGACACUGAACAGCGAAAGCCAGGGGAGCAAACGGG